UACGUAGGGGGCAAGCGUUAUCCGGAUUCACUGGGUGUAAAGGGAGCGUAGACGGCCAUGCAAGCCUGGAGUGAAAGCCCGGGGCCCAACCCCGGGACUGCUCUGGGAACUGUGCGGCUGGAGUGCGGGAGGGGCAGGCGGAAUUCCUGGUGUAGCGGUGAAAUGCGUAGAUAUCAGGAGGAACACCGGCGGCGAAGGCGGCCUGCUGGACUGCGACUGACGUUGAGGCUCGAAAGCGUGGGGAGCAAACAGG
rnacentral:rRNA from 1 species